rnacentral:rRNA from 1 species
AUACGGAGGGUGCAAGCGUUAAUCGGAAUUACUGGGCGUAAAGCGCGCGUAGGCGGAUAUUUAAGUCUCAUGUGAAAGCCCUGGGCUCAUCCUGGGAACUGCAUGGGAUACUGGGUAUCUAGAAUACAGUAGAGGGUAGUGGAAUUUCAGGUGUAGCGGUGAAAUGCGUAGAGAUCUGAAGGAACAUCAGUGGCGAAGGCGACUACCUGGACUGAUAUUGACGCUGAGGUGCGAAAGCGUGGGGAGCAAACGGGAUUAGAAACCCCAGUAGUCC